rnacentral:rRNA from 1 species
UGCAAGUCGAACGAGGUAGCAAUACCAAGUGGCGCACGGGUGAGGAACGCGUGGAUAAUCUGCCCUUCAGUGGGGAAUAACUAUCCGAAAGGAUAGCUAAUACCGCAUAAGACCACAGGAUCUGCGGAUCUAGGGGUUAAAGGAGUAAUUCGCUGAGGGAUGAGUCUGCGUGGGAUUAGCUAGUUGGUGAGGUAACGGCUCACCAAGGCUACGAUCUCUAACUGGUCUGAGAGGAUGACCAGUCACACUGGAACUGAGACACGGUCCAGACUCCUACGGGAGGCAGCAGUAGGGAAUAUUGCGCAAUGGGCGAAAGCCUGACGCAGCGACGCCGCGUGAGUGAUGAAGGCCUUAGGGUCGUAAAGCUCUGUUGCAUGGGACUAAGAAAGUGAAUGUACCAUGUGAGGAAGGACCGGCUAACUUCGUGCCAGCAGCCGCGGUAAUACGAGGGGUCCUAGCGUUGUUCGGAAUUAUUGGGCGUAAAGAGUAUGUAGGCGGCCAAAUAAGUCAGGUGUGAAAUCCCCGGGCUCAACCCGGGAAGUGCAUUUGAUACUGUUUGGCUUGAGUAUGGAAGAGGGUAGUGGAAUUCCUGGUGUAGUGGUGAAAUACGUAGAUAUCAGGAGGAACACCGGUGGCGAAGGCGGCUACCUGGACCUAU